rnacentral:rRNA from 1 species
AGUGAACGCUGGCGGUAGGCCUAACACAUGCAAGUCGAACGGCAGCACAGUAAUAGCUUGCUCUUACGGGUGGCGAGUGGCGGACGGGUGAGGAAUACAUUGGAAUCUACUUUUUCGUGGGGGAUCACGUAGGGAAACUUACGCUAAUACCGCAUACUUCCUGCGGGUGAAAGCAGGGGAUCUUCGGUACUUGCGCGAUUGAAUGACCCGAUGUCGGAUUAGCUAGUUGGCGGGGUAAAGGCCCACCAAGGCGACGAUCCGUAGCUGGUCUGAGAGCGUGGUCAGGCACACUGGGACAGAGACACGGUCCAGACUCCUACGGGAGGCAGCAGUGGGGAAUAUUGGGCAAUGGGCGAGAGCGUGAUACAGCCAUACCGCGUGGAUGAAGAAGGCCUUCGGGUUGGAAAGCGCUUUUGUUGGGAAAGAAAAGCAGCAGGUUAAUACGCCGCUGUUAUGACGGUACCCAAAGAAUAAGCACCGGCUAACUUCGUG